AAAAAAAAAAGGAAAAAAAGAAAAAAAGGACAGCUUAUUCCAAUGCCCUUGUGGACGAGGACUAAAUGAAAACCAAAGAGCUGCGGGCAUUAACUGCAACAUCCAAGACAGGGAACAGCUACUGAGGCGUGCCACAGCAAGAGUAUUCUGAUCACUAAGGGGGAACACAACCAGCAAAGUAUUCGGCCAAGAAGCCCAGAUCCGAACACGCCGUCACAGCGCACCACGCAGCUUGCUCAGGAAUCAAGUGUACUCUGCAUGCUAACGAGUGGAAGGCAUGGCACUGCCCACAGGUCCAGGAACAGCGCUGCGUAGACUCUGGGACCAGACCACGUGGGUUCUAGUACUGGCUCUGUCUUACUCCGUGUGAUCUUGGACAGGUGACCCAAACCUGUCCAGGCCUCAGAUUCUGUAUCUGGGAUAUAAGACCGGAUUGCCAUGUGGAUUAAAAGAGAUGAUGCAGACAAAGUACAAGCAUCUGGGACUCUGAACGAGGAAGAAAUAUGCAUCUGUUGAGGAACCAGAAGCCAGACAUUAAGAGGGAGAACUAUGCUCUUAAGGGUAGAGAACACAAGAUUCCACUCAUCCUGAAGAAGGCUCUCUCCCAUCAAGUUCAGCUAUCAUGAACAUUUCAUCUGUUCUCAAGAGCUCAGGAGGACAAAUUAAUAAGGCUCAUAGGUCCAACUAACUGAAAGCCUCAAUUUGUGGGAAGAAGAAAAGCGAGGCUGGGGACACAGCACAAACGGUGUUUACGCCACUGAAGUUCUUUUGAAAUGGAAAGGCUCUGCAUGAAGAAGGGAACAGUUAUGCCACUGCCUCGCCAAUUCCAGUGAGGAGCUCAUCUUCAAUGUAGUGUUCAACGUAGGUGGCAAAACUGUAAUUUUUCCCUUUUUUGAAACUAUUUUUUCUUCUUUUAUUUUUGAAAUUCUCAUCUAAGCGACAGUUUCUUGUACUAUAGUGACUCCUGCUGGGAGAGGUAAGUUGAAGUAGCUGAAGGUCUCUUACAGAUAUAUCAACUCCCGGCCAGUAAAAAAGAUGUCCUAAACGCAGGAGAUGGAGUUAAACUGUUCCCCUACCUUGGACGCAAUGGCUUCUUUCAUCACUAAGAACAAACCCCUAGGUUUUACAAUUGAGACUGAGAAACUAGUACAGUACUUGUACAAUUUUUGAUCUACAGCAUCACGACGUGAAGCUGCAACAAUUAGAUGUAAAGGGUCCAUUCAUGAGGAAUAACAUCACUUUGACCCUUUGUGUUAGCUCCUACUGCUAAUCUUUCCAUAAGCGUGAACUUACUUUCAAUUUGAAGAAGAUGAAAAAGUCUUUUGCAAAACCCCAAUACUGUUUUCUGAUCUAUGUACCUGAAUGGAGAAUCGUAGUCUUACCUCGUUUUUUUCCACUACAAGCCAAGCUACUUGUAAUCCUUCCAAACCUUUAAAGGGGACCUCCCUUGUUAGCAUCUCCCAGAGAACCUGGAACAAAAAGAAAAUGGAAUUUUUAUUCUUGUACUUUAUAUUUUUGGUAUAUUACUGAAACUUUAUCUAACAUUUAACUGUAUCCAAUUACCAGACGAAACCAACCCCACCUGUAGAAACUUGGACAAAACAUAUAUAUUCAUGCACAGGACUUCUUCCAAAUAUUAAAUCACACACACACAUUUUAUAUAUGUAUACAACACACACACACACACGCAUACAUACAUUUUUUUUGCUCAUUUUUACAAAGUUUAGAAAUCAGGACAUUUAGAGCCAGACUUAUGAAACCAAUGGGCCUACAUAAUUUAUCUUGUAAGUUACUAGAAUUCUCACAGAUUCCUACAAAUUAGGUUUUAUAUUUUCUUAGUCAAACUCUUUCUACCUUGAAUCACCAAUAAAUUUCUCUGUAAGAUAAUAACUGGGAAUUCAACCGUAUUUUUAAAGGUUCAGUAAUGGUCUGAUAAAAAAUAUUGAGCCCUAAAUCCAAAUCACUGUCUAAACCAUUCACCUCAUAAUGGUAGGUACUUGCAAAACUGUAACAUUUAAAUUUUGUGUUUUGGAGAAAGUCUCUCAAAAUGAGUUGGUCUAAGGGAGUCAUUUCUUCCACCUAUAAUAUAAUUUAAUAUAUAUCCUAAAAUGUAAUAAAUACUUAAUGUCAUGUACAUAAGCUACGGGUGUGUGUGCGUGCGCAUGUGAAACUUACGAGUGUGCUCAUCUCCCUGCGAUCCUUGAGAGGAUUUUAAAUCUGCACUGAAAUGCCCAAAGAAUGCAAACUGAUUCUAGCAAUGCUGAAAACAGCCAAGGAUUUGGGUUUUAUUUAAAAUACUAAGUAAUGGUGACUUUUUUACAUUCAGUUAAUUUUCUCUAUUUAUACAAAUGGGCAUCAAAAUCGGAGUCUAUCAAUAUUUUGUGAAGUGUGACAACAAUUACAAUUUUGUCAAUAAUCAUAAUAACCACUCAUUCGCCGAGUGAUUAUGUUCCAGAUGCCUUAUUAAACUCUUUACACAUGUUACCAUGAUUAAUAUCAACCCCCCCCAACAGAUAUUACCCUCACUUUAUAGAUGAGGAAACUAAGGCCUAAGAAAGUGAAAUAAACUUGCCCAAAGACACUCCAUUAUCAAGUGGCAGAGCUAGAAUAUGAGUUGCUACCUUCCCUAACAGUCAAGCUCUUAACCAGAUGUAACUCGAGAAAAGGGAGGCUGCCUUGUGAGAGAGAAUGUGACAUGCCACAUUUCAGGGCGGGGAGCCAGGGCAGAGAUGAAAAGCAAAUGAAUGCAACGGUUUUGAUUUCGAUUGCUCUUAUUCUAAAAACAAAAAACAACUGUUUCUAAAGAAGAAUGUAGAUUGAGAACAUGCACUCUCUUCAGGCAGGUCCUACAAACCUUUAACUGUAUCCGCUGUUUCCUCAGCCAGUGCUCAGUCAUAUUUGACUCAACAUGUGAAAUGAACUCUGGCUAAUAGGAAGAUAAUUAGCAGGAAAAUCAGGGAAAUUGGCAGAUGCUGCUCAAGCAGGAGGAAAAAAAAAAUUCACUGAAGCCUCUUUGGGCUUUUAAUCAAGUGUGUAAGGUACUUCUUUAGAAGAGCUACUGAAUAAUUCUAUCUGAGUCCCAGAAGUGAUUAGGAAAAGGUAAGGGGCAACCCAGAAGGGGCCGCCUGUAGCAGGCACUGUCAGUAAAGGCAGCGUGAGGGCCAGACAGGUAUGCGUCCCCCAGGCCCCACUUGCACCUGGAGAUGGGGAGACGGGGAAAUGGGGAGAUGGGGAGAUGGGGAGAUGGAGCAGCCCGAGGCCUGGGCAGGAAACGUGCAAUUCCCACUCCCCUGGUGCCGAGGCUGGGGAGGGAAAGGACACAUAGAGCAAGCAAACUGGUGGCUUUGGCCCUCCUGAGGAGAAAGGGCACAGUGAAUCAGCCUCAAAUAGAUGGAAAGCUCCAGACCCCAAGGUGUCCAGGUAAGCGGCCUCGUGCCCCCUGCCUUCUGACCCGGCCUGCACAGGCGCACACAAGGAGGCUGACUGGGUUUGUCAAGGCCAAAUGCAAAACCAAGAGCUUGGGAAGUGACACACAAAGAAGAUUUAUGUCAUUCUUUGUUCCAAAAUAUUCAGUUGGAAGACAUCCAACAUCAACUCAAGUCCAAGUUCUAUUUCUCCAAGAGUUCUGACCCUGGAAAAAUAGUUUCAUUCCAGUCCCCCAGUGUGUCCCGGAAGAGCUACUAUAGCCACGGGGCCAUCUGCGGGUGUGGACACGGCCCCGAGGCUGCUGCGCUGCGGGCCCCAAGUGACUCUUCAGCUCACGUCCAGCAGCGGCGGCACAUGCCCACGUUCCCUAUUACUGAUUCGCCAGGUGGAGGCACGUAUCAAAGAGUAGAUGGGGUGAGACUGGACAGCAGCUGCUUCUGCACUAAACCCGGUGACGUUCGGCACAAAAAAGUCCUUUGUGGAGGAAGUCAUUUGGAGGUCUAAAAAUAUAUCAAACUAUGCCUGAAAAUAUCAGUGAUGGGGAUGCAGGCCAAACAUUAUUGUGAUCUUUCCCCUUAAAAAUACUUUCCAACUCAUUCUAUCUUGAGACGUGUUCACGUUUCAACUGUGCUCACAAGGAACAAUUUCUAUUUUCAGUUUGCAGAGAAACUUGGACAAGGCUGUGUACUUUUCCUCCCCUUUCUUUUACAAACAAUGGCAGGCCAUUACCUGAGCUGGGCUUGUUCUGGAACAGGGCUCACAGACAAGUGACGCAGUGAUGCUCGCUCUUAAGCCACUCUACUUUCAAAUAGUGGUUCUGGCUCAGAAGCUUCUGAGAAGGUAAUCCUUUCUGCAUUGUCAUUAGGAUAGCUUUGUUUUUAAAGAGUGGCUAGGCCUCGUGUUCUCAGAAGGCUUAUUCUUUCAAUGAUUUUUGCUUUCCUUUUAUGUGGAUAACAUACUAAACACUCCUCUGGUUCUGUCCUUCAAGGGAGAUCAUCAUAAGGGGGUAGCACAAGCUCCUUUCUUGUAAUAUGGGGAGAGAAACAAUUGCCUGUCUGGCAAAGUUUAUCAGCUUAGAAGCAAGGAUCACAAGAUCCACUUCUGGCAUUUGCAGCACAUUUAUUUUAAGGCUGUCCCAGGCUGGAUAGUCUUGCUAUGUGUUAAGAAGCGAUACAGAUUUAUCAAGCUAUGGGUUACUAGGGACUUAAGUAAUAUUAGAGCAAGUCUGAAAAAAACAGAAAAAUGAAAGCAAAAAUGAAAAGCAAAAAUAUGUUAGUUUUUAUUUUUUUUGAGGUGGGUUUCAAAAAAGGACAACUCUCCCUUACAGUCUUAUUCAUCUGUAUGCAACUAUUAAGUGUGUACGUGUGUGGAGGCUCAGUGAAUAGGACAGACUUUCAGUGAACUAUAGGAUGUUUUGUGCAGAGACACUUUACAGACAAAUGGUCCUGGCUACUUAUCUAUUUCUGAAAGGACAUCAAAAAUCCUAAAUAACCACAUCACUUUCCUAGAUAGCUAUCAUUUUCAGCCUAUGGACUACAAAGUUCUAAAACUAACAUGCCCCUACCUUAGUAACCAUUCUCUCCUGCUCUUUUAGGUAAUACCUACUCUGACCAUGUGAUGCCUUCUUCAUUUUUAAAAAAUGUAUGUUUGUUUAAACAAAAAGCUCUGGAAAGCAUGCCUGGUACCAUUUCUUUGAUUAAAUGGUGUUUAUCUAGAACAUAAUGGGAAGAGGUCAGAAUUCAAUAAAAUCUUGAAUUCUCACUUGUAAUUAAAUUAGUUUAUGUACAACCUUCGGUAUGGAACUCUGUUGAUCUAGCUACGGGUGGAGCCUAACCAGAAUUCCAAGUAAACCUAAGAUACUGUUUUCAGAGAAAUAGAGUCACUGUAAUGGCAUUCUUUGUUUCUGCCCAUCAAAAGAAGACUCUAACAUGAACACAGAGUUGAUAUUCAGAAGCCUGUGGCUGGGGCGGACAGGUUCUGAGCUGCAGCAUCUGGUGUGUCAAUAUAGAAUGACGCUGGAAAUGUUCAGCGAUUGGCUAUCAAGUUUGCUACAGUAAGUGAAACUACUUGCUAGAAUGAUUUAAGCAUUUGUUAAAUCCCUUGGACCAGAACAAGGGAAGGGUUAGCUCGGCAAACAAGUAGACAGGAAACCUCGUUCACCAAGAGAGAUGUUCGAGCCCAUCUACUAAGGAGCAGUGCACCAUCACUCAAAGGAAGAGCUUUUUAACAAGGUAAACACCAUUUGCAGCCUCGGAAAAGCUGAUUCAAGAACUUCCUCUGUGAACCGUGGCCUGCUGCAGAACGCACAGUGGUUUUCACGUCUGUGAAGAGUUGUACAAAACAGAAGAGCACGCAGUGGGGAUUAUCAGUGAGCCUCAGGGUAGAAGAGAUUCACUGUCUGGUCCUUUACAGAAAGAGUUUGCUGGCUCCUGUUCCACAGGACAGAAGGCGGCACUGGUCCCGAUGAGCAGGCAAAGGACAAUUUAACUCUCCCCACGCCGGUGUCAAGUACAGUGCCUGCCACAGUAAAUGCAUUCCUGCUUAAACAUGAAGCAACAUAACUUCCUAAGAGAAAAGGAUCUCACAGAAAGUCUGAAAUUGCAACACAUUCCCCCAUUUUCAGACCUCCCCAGCAGGUGAUUUGUGGGAAUGGUCAGAAAGUAAGAACUUAUGACCUAGGGAAGGAGUUUUAGAAUCGAGUCUCUUCAGGAACUUGGGUUUUUCUCCAUCUUUCGAUGGGGUUUUAUUUGAUCACUGUCUACAGUUUAUAGCCUUCAUUCUUCGAAAUACCCAGAAUUAAGGAAAUGAGAUAUGUAGCCUGAAGCUAUUGUUGUCUUUCAACCUUUAAAAUUCUAGCCUUUUGCCAAAAACACGUAUUUCAUUCUUGUAAUGACUUUUUUCAGUAGCCAACAAAAUUCAUCUCUAUUAUAUUAAUUUGAUGUACAUAAGAUGUAUUAUAAUUUGGAAAAGGCUUGGCUGUCUGCCCCCUCACUAAAGAUCCUGUUCUUAUCUGUGCUUUUCCACUGUGAUUUUUACAUGAUACCUUACAUUCAUGCUUCCGAAUCACACUACUGUAUAAGACUUACUGUGGGCUUGGGCAAGGCUAGGGGCUAAAGACCAAGUAUGUUUCCCUCUAGUCAUUUUAAUAGUUAACAUUCAAAAUUCUCCUAUAGUUAAUUAAAUCCUGCGGCAGACCGACUGGUGUGUUUUGAGCAACUUACUACAGUGAAGUCCCAUUCCAGAUGACCCACAUUUCCACUGAGUUACACAGAUACACCACAGUCCUGCAUCCAGCCCAGGAAAGCACUUGUCACAAGAGUGCAUCUGGCCUGGCAUUACUUUAGGUUCCAUCUAAUUGCUCUUUGGAAGUAGUGUUGGUUUCUUCUCAACAUAAGACAAAAUAAUUCAGAUGCAUAAAGGUGACCAGAGUAAACACUCUAGCAAUUAGGAAGUGUUCUCUGUGUGGUCACUGCUCUAGGCAUUCCACCAGAACCACCACUGUUGUCUUAAAACUGUGUUAAAUUGCUGUCCCACUGCUGGGGGUGUUUGCUUUUUUAGAUCUCCUUGAGUAACAACCAAAAAAAAAGAAAAAAAAGAGAGAGAGAGAGAGAGAGAGAGAGAGAGAAAUGAACUCACCACACCAUAGGAAUAUGUGUCACAAGUUUCAGACACAGGGAGACUUUGGAUAACUUCUGGAGCCAUCCAUGGGAAAGUCCCAACCAAGGACAUGUGUGUUGUAUGGUUAUGGAACCGAGAGGCACCAAAAUCACAUAUCUGAGAAAAGGGAAAAAACAAGUGAUCAACCUUCUACUUACUGAUUUAUAAUAGAAUUAUCAGUCACAAAAAUGUAUAUCCGAAGUUAACAACCACUUUUGAAAAAAAUUAAAAGAAGCAGUCCUACCUUCAAUACCCCAUCAGCAGCUAUAACAACUAAAAAAAAAAAAAGAAGAAAAAUUAUGACAAUCAUCUAAUUUAUUUGAGUCAUCUCAGAUUGA